UACGUAGGGUGCAAGCGUUGUCCGGAAUUAUUGGGCGUAAAGAGCUCGUAGGCGGUCUGUUGCGUCGGCUGUGAAAACCCGGGGCUCAACUCCGGGCCUGCAGCCGAUACGGGCAGACUAGAGUUCGGCAGGGGAGACUGGAAUUCCUGGUGUGGCGGUGAAAUGCGCAGAUAUCAGGAGGAACACCGGUGGCGAAGGCGGGUCUCUGGGCCGAUACUGACGCUGAGGAGCGAAAGCGUGGGGAGCGAACAGG
rnacentral:rRNA from 1 species